rnacentral:rRNA from 1 species
UACGAAGGGUGCAAGCGUUAAUCGGAAUUACUGGGCGUAAAGCGUGCGUAGGCGGUACGUUAAGUCUGCCGUGAAAGCCCUGGGCUCAACCUGGGAACGGCGGUGGAUACUGGCGUGCUGGAGUGCGGUAGAGGAGGGUGGAAUUCCCGGUGUAGCGGUGAAAUGCGUAGAGAUCGGGAGGAACAUCAGUGGCGAAGGCGGCCCUCUGGACCAGCACUGACGCUGAGGCACGAAAGCGUGGGGAGCAAACAGGGAUUAGAUACCCUGGUAGUCCACGCCCUAAACGAUGCGAACUGGAUGUUGGGCACAUUACGGUGCUCAGUGUCGAAGCUAACGCGUUAAGUUCGCCGCCUGGGGAGUACGGUCGCAAGACUGAAACUC